rnacentral:lncRNA from 1 species
GGCGGCCCAGAUCCUGAAUCGGAAUCAUGGGCGUCUCUGGUAGAGCCUGGUCUGCGAGUUCUGUGCCAGGUCACUUAAGUCCAGGCAGUGCCUCGCUUUAACUAAACCAGCAUUUUGAGGGAAAGUGACAGAGAAGGACAGAAAGAAACUUAUUGGCUUUAUAGGCGCUGGCUGCUCUUUGCUGCUUCAGUGAAAAUGCAGCUGUAUCCAGCAUGCUUCAAGGUUACAGCUCUGUUUCCCAGGCCUUGCUGGGGACCUUCUUCACCUGGGCAAUGACAGCGGCGGGAGCGGCUCUCGUGUUCAUAUUCUCCAGUGGGCAGAGGCGGAUCUUAGAUGGAAGCC